GGCUUAGAGUUUGAUCAUGGCUCAGGAUGAACGCUGGCGGCGUGCUUAACACAUGCAAGUCGAACGGAGUACUCAUGACGGAGUUUUCGGACAACGGAUUGAGUUACUUAGUGGCGGACGGGUGAGUAACGCGUGAGCAACCUGCCUUGGAGUGGGGAAUAACACAACGAAAGCUGUGCUAAUACCGCAUAAUGCAGCUGGGCCGCAUGGCUCUGGCUGCCAAAGAUUUAUCGCUCUGAGAUGGACUCGCGUCUGAUUAGCUAGUUGGCGGGGCAACGGCCCACCAAGGCGACGAUCAGUAGCCGGACUGAGAGGUUGGCCGGCCACAUUGGGACUGAGACACGGCCCAGACUCCUACGGGAGGCAGCAGUGGGGAAUAUUGGGCAAUGGGCGCAAGCCUGACCCAGCAACGCCGCGUGAAGGAAGAAGGCUUUCGGGUUGUAAACUUCUUUUCUCAGGGACGAAGCAAGUGACGGUACCUGAGGAAUAAGCCACGGCUAACUACGUGCCAGCAGCCGCGGUAAUACGUAGGUGGCAAGCGUUAUCCGGAUUUACUGGGUGUAAAGGGCGUGUAGGCGGGAUUGCAAGUCAGAUGUGAAAACCAUGGGCUCAACUCAUGGCCUGCAUUUGAAACUGUAGUUCUUGAGUACUGGAGAGGCAGACG
rnacentral:rRNA from 1 species